CAGGUGUGCAAGCCUGCUCUAGUGAAGAGGUGGGAAUAGCCCUGGCGCCCUCCUGGAGGCUUCCAGACGUGGGCACAUGCAGGUCCCCUGAAAGGAAGGAGAGAGAUCUGUAAUUCUAGCUUUGGACAGGCCUCCGAGGCAUAUUGUUAAGGGAAACAAAUGGAGUCCUGUGUAUGGACAGAAAGAGCCCAACACAGACUUAUCUGGACGUAGAGAUCUGCGUGUGACUGUGUAGAAAGGUCCGGCAAAUCCCCCCGCCCCAGGAACAGGAUGAGCAGGGCUGCGGCUUUGUUCUGUCAUCUGCUGCAGUUCAGGCACUCAGUCGUGUCCGACUCUGCGCCCCUGUGGCCCGCAGCAUGCCAGGCCUCCCUGUCCUUCACCGUCUCCCGGAGCUUGCUCAAACUCAUGUCCAUUGAGUCGGUGAUGCCGUCCAACCAUCUCGUCCUCUGUGGUCCCCUUCUCCUCCCGCCUUCAGUCUCUCCCAGCAUCAUUUUCCAAUGAGUCGGCACCGUCGCUCACGUGCUUUGUAAUUCACAGUAAAUAACGUGAGGGCUUGCUGACCUGUGUCAUCUGUGGCUGUGCCCGGGUGGGACCUGCCGUGGCCCGGGGGUGGCCCAGGACACCCAGACGGCCACCUCAGGAGAACGAGUCUGCAGCCAGGGCCCCGCUGUGUCUGAGGGCAGGUGUAGACUGGGCCCAGGUUCCCCACGUGGCCAGUGUGACGGCGGCCAGUCGGCGCUCGGCUGUCGCGGUGACUCAGUGCCUGCUGUCCGUCUAGCUGGUGGCCUCUGAGUCUGGGCAGCAGGCGUCAGGCUGGGGAGCCGUCCACUGGCCUCUGGCCAGCAGGGUUUCUGGAAGCUGCGAGACCUCUGGAGCCUGGGCGCAGACCCGGCCAGGUGUCACCUGGGCUGCGUUCGGUCAAAGUAAGUCGUGAGCCGGGAUCCAGUCCCAAGUAGGAUCGGGUGCCGCCAGGAGGGGGGCUGCUUCUGGGGGUGGGGGGUGCAGCCGUUUCCCCGCCAGCCCAGAAGGGACCAGGGCAAGCCCACAGGUGUGUUUCCAAGAGGCGAAGACGGCAGCAUGAAAUGAAAAGCGCCUCGUGGGGCGGCUUCUGAAAAUUGCUUUUUCUGUCUCGGUGGCGCUUAGGGGCUUGUGCUGAUGGCCCUGAGCAGGCCUCAGCCGCCUCGUGGCUCCACUAAGGGCCCUGCAGCCUGACUGUCAGUCCCUCCUCACCCCCCACCGGCUCCUCGUCUCCAAGCCCGCGACACCUCGCCCCCCGCGUUCACGCCCGAACGCGCCAGCUCCAAUUACAGGCGCUUCUUGGGAGCAGAUAUGAUUGCAGGCUGAUUGCAGAGCUGCUGGCUUUAUUUCCAGGCUUCAUGUGUCUGCACUGAUGGAAACUCUGCCAGUCGAGGGUUCACAGAGCCGAGGAGAACAAGCGUCAGAACAAGAGCCCGUCUCAUCCACCGUCUAACAAGAGUGAAGACGAUCCUAAAGACACGGAGUUUAAAAAUGGAGUAUCUGUGGAAACCAGGUCAGGUCGGGACUCUGCCUGAUCUGACCUAUGGUCGCCCGUCCCUUGGACCCUCUAUGAAAUUUUGUUUUUUUAACAUUAAAACUUUUCCUGAAGUUUCACGCCCCUGGGACUGCUGGCCUGGCGGAGUUUGCCUCCAGCGCUGUUGGGAAUCGCCUCGCAUCCUGUUUCUCUAUGGAGGAUGUUUAUCUCUUGAUCUCAUCGCGUCCUGGAAUUUCUGUCCCAGCCUCUCCCGCCCAGCAGCUGCUGCCUGUUUGUGAACCUCAGGCUCUCCCUCUGUGUGUGAGGUUCAGCCUCCAUCAAGAUCUGGGGGAAAGGUCUGGCCUUUCUGGGUGACUCUGGCUCACCCAGCAUCACCCAGAGCCCCGCCCGCUCGUGAGAUGGAAAAGGAACGUGACCCCAGGGAGGGCUGGCUGAGCCCAGGAGGACCCGGCCUGUCCAGCCAUCCUGCCGCUGAUGCGAAAGGCAGACCGUCUCGCUGGAUGCCGAAAACCAUAGUUAUGACACUUUUUGUCAUGCUGUUUCCUCUUAUUUAUGCAGUGGAGAGGAGGAUGUUUUCAAAUAAACCCUCUAAAUAUGAAAUCCCGAGAAUGCAUUCUUUCUACAAUGCUGCACCAUUAACCGCCUCUUAGCUGGUUACAUUAUAAAGCGAGUCGUUGUAACAGCUGAAAAAAAAAAAAAAUCCGAGGCGAGAUGUGCUUCCAGAGCCCAUAUGCUGAAUCCUGGCAUCCUUAUACCUUUUUUCAAGCUGUUGUCAAUUA